rnacentral:rRNA from 1 species
AUGGCGGGAUUUCGAGAAGCGGUUGAUCUAUGUGGCCUAGCUGAUAUUGGGUAUAAAGGACCCGACUGGACUUUUGAGAAGAGAAUUGCGAGCGGUGAUUUCUGUAGGGUGCGGCUGGACCGUGCCCUUGCGACCCCGUCGUGGUCGGCCAUGUUCCCCUUUGCUUCAUUGGAACAUUUAACAGUGGCGAAGUCAGACCAUUGCCCUAUACUACUGUCCAAUGAUAUUGAGCAUAAUGCAGUCUGA